rnacentral:tRNA from 1 species
UCCCUAGUGGCUUAGUGGUAAAGAAUCUGCCUGCCAGUGCAGGAGACACAGGUUCGAUUCCUGGUCCGGGAA